UUCCCUCACUCACACGUGUUACACACGUCCUCCUCUACGAGACGACAAUUCACACCGGUCAUCAUUGUGGGCUACGCACACCGACAUAUCGUCUCGAGUGGAUCGUCUCUAGUGCUCCGUGCAUCGCACCACGCGCGGCUAGUUUGCCUCACGCACUCACAGUGCGUGCGACUGUUUUGUCACGCGUGCGGCCGACACGCGUGUGUGCACGUUAUACGUCGUCGUCGUCGUAUUCGUCAGCUUACCUAAGUUUAUUGUUAGAGAGACCGCGUACCACACUGUAGACGGAGCUUGAGGAGAUUUAGUGCGUCUCGCAUGCUGCUCUGAGUAUCACAUGUGCCGGCUCCGAUCUAUCUCGAUCGUUCUUCGGUGUUACGUGGAUGAAAGACAUCUUAGUGAUAAUGCGUGGAAAUGUGUGUUAAUUUAGUACGAGUUUAGCUUAAUUUAAAUAUUUGAGAAAAAUAUCCUGCGACUGCAACAUAAUGGAAAAAUAGAGAAGAAUUUAUUAAAAAUUAUAUAUACAAUACAUUUUUGUAUAAUCUAAACAUAAUUACAUAUGGAACAAAGUGACUUGCAUAUGAAAUAAAUGUCUUCUUUGUCGAGAAAAAAUUUUGCUAAUAUAUAACUAGAUUUAUAUUUUUACUAAAUGAGAGAAUUAGUUUUUGUGAUAUAAUUUUGAUUGUGCCAAAAGAGUUCAGUGGAUUCAUCUACGAGCAUAAUUUUUCCGUAUAAAACGAAAUAAAAGUGCUUCAAUAACAAACUCUUAUGAGAAAAAAAAAGAUCACGUUGCGUGCAUCGUUCGUAAACUCAUCAUGUGUACAAUGCAACUAUUCGCCAUGCCUGAUACAA